rnacentral:rRNA from 1 species
AAGCGGACCUCAUAAAGUGCGUCGUAGUCCGGAUUGGAGUCUGCAACUCGACUCCAUGAAGUCGGAAUCGCUAGUAAUCGUGGAUCAGAAUGCCACGGUGAAUACGUUCCCGGGCCUUGUACACACCGCCCGUCACACCAUGGGAGUGGGUUGCAAAAGAAGUAGGUAGCUUAACCUUCGGGAGGGCGCUUACCACUUUGUGAUUCAUGACUGGGGUGAAGUCGUAACAAGGUAACCGUAGGGGAACCUGCGGUUGGAUCACCUCCUU